rnacentral:rRNA from 1 species
ACAACUUUCAACAACGGAUCUCUUGGUUCUCGCAUCGAUGAAGAACGCAGCGAAAUGUGAUAAGUAAUGUGAAUUGCAGAAUUCAGUGAAUCAUCGAAUCUUUGAACGCAUCUUGCGCUCCUUGGCAUUCCGAGGAGCAUGCCUGUUUGAGAGUCAUUAAA